rnacentral:rRNA from 1 species
AGUCGAACGAGACUUCGGGUCUAGUGGCGCACGGGUGCGUAACGCGUGGGAAUCUGCCCUUGGGUUCGGAAUAACAGUUAGAAAUGACUGCUAAUACCGGAUGAUGACUUCGGUCCAAAGAUUUAUCGCCCAAGGAUGAGCCCGCGUAGGAUUAGGUAGUUGGUGGGGUAAAGGCCUACCAAGCCUACGAUCCUUAGCUGGUCUGAGAGGACGAUCAGCCACACUGGGACUGAGACACGGCCCAGACUCCUACGGGAGGCAGCAGUAGGGAAUAUUGGACACUGGGCGAAAGCCUGAUCCAGCAAUGCCGCGUGAGUGAUGAAGGCCUUAGGGUCGUAAAGCUCUUUUACCAGGGAUGAUAAUGACAGUACCUGGAGAAUAAGCUCCGGCUAACUCCGUGCCAGCAGCCGCGGUAAUACGGAGGGAGCUAGCGCUGUUCGGAAUUACUGGGCGUA